CUGCUGCAGCUGUUGUAGCGGGUUGCCAUGCCAUCGCCUCCUGGACGAUGGGCGCAGCGUGAUUGUGUCAUUGGCACCCGGAAUUGACGGGAUACCGGAAGUGUGGGCGGCCCUCGCUCUGAUGGCAGUACGGAAUGCAGGGACACACUUUGGUUUCUGUAAGGUAUAAAGAUAUGUCUCUGGAUCAAGACAUAGCCUUCAUCACCGGCUUACUAGACAUGUCUAUGGAAGGUCAAAGUUAAGGGGUAUUUCGAUAAAGUGCAAUGGAAUGCGGCCUUGGAGGAGCUAGUGGAGUACUGCAGGCCCUUUGUGUCCGGUGCUAACAAUGAAUGGGUCAUUAAAAAGAUACAGAACCUGCAUACUGUGUUCCUGAAAGAACACAAGAAAAUGCAACAGUCCAAAAGGUCUGGAGCAGGUUCUUCCCAGGUUUACAAGACCUCGCUCUGGUACUACCCCAUGCUGGAGUUUGUCCUGGACCAGGAGCCUACCCGGAAGGUUUCACCUCCCUCCCUCGGACUGCCACACCAGAGCCUGAAGACGGUGACCUAUCUUUGCAUCUAGUGGAAGUGUGGAGAUUCCCGCCACCCCAGACCUCAGCAUCAUCCAGGAUACGGAAGAAUCCCAGCCCCAAGUUCCUACCUCUGAAACACCAGCUACCUCUGAUACCUCUGUAUCACCAGUUCCUCCGGCGCACCCCCGGAAGAGAACACACACAAAAAAAACACACCGACCAGGAGGGUGAAGACAUUAUAUUUCAAGAGAUCAAGGCAAGACUUGCCCAGCCCCCCCCCCCCCUUCCCCCCUUCCCUCCCACUACUCAAAAUUUGGGGAAUUUACAGCCUCUGCAAGGGGUAACCUACCCCCGGGUCAAGUGGAGCAGAUUCAGCGUCUCAAUUCAAAGAUGCUGAACAAAGCACAAAAAUCCAAACUCCAUGAUGAUGUCAUACUAUUCGACCACCGCCCUCUCACUCUUCCUCUCACCCAGUCCCAUCCUAUUCCACCCCACCCAACCCCAUCUCAUUCCACCAACCCAACCACAGCCUACUCCUCACCCACCUGCUCCUCAGCCAUAUACUCUGCUAUGCUGGAGGCAGAGGAGGACAUGACCCAGUUUGAAAAUUUGUAGGCAUCUUAUAAUUCCCAAUAAAUAUUUGCGGUAUAGGCUAUAUGGUGUUUUGGGGGCAGAUUUUUUGGGGAGGAUGCUGUAGGUGCAUAAUAAUGGGUCCGGGCCCUAAUCAUUCUGCACUUUACAGCAUGUGUGUAUUCUCCCAAUCAAAUCAGUGCCCAAAACACCAUAUAGCCCUCCAUCUUAAAGUACCGCACCAUAUUUAUUGGGAAUUAGAACAUUGUUAAUGGCCUUGUUUUAAAGUUAGUAAUUCCCAAUAAAUAUGGUGCGGUAUAGGCUAUAUGGUGUUUUGGGGCCAGAGUUUUGGGGUAGGACACACGCAUGCUGUAGGUGCAUAAUAAUGGGGCCGGGACCAUUCAUUCUGCACUUUACAGCAUGUGUGUAUUCUCCCAAUCAAAUCUGUGCCCAAAACGCCAUAUAGCCCUCCAUCUUUUAGGAGGGAAAGUACCGCCCCAUAUUUAUUGGGAAUUACUGUUAUUUAAUCCUUUUAAUUAUUUCAUUAUCUAUCUAUCUAUUUAUCUAUCUAUCUAAAUGUCUAAAUUGUGAUAUGAUGUUUUUUACAUUUCUAUGUGCCAUGUUGGCAAAUAAUUUCAUAAAUU